rnacentral:misc_RNA from 1 species
AAGUCGUAACAAGGUUUCCGUAGGUGAACCUGCGGAAGGAUCAUUAUCAAAAGUCAGUCGGGAGCCCUAGUGGCUGCCGUCUACACCCAAGUCUUUUGUGUACUCAUUGUUUCCUCGGCGGCGUAAGUCGCCGAAUGGACAAACUAAAACCUUUUUGUAAUUGCAAUCAGCGUCAUUAAAUAUCAUAAUAUUUACAACUUUCAACAACGGAUCUCUUGGUUCUG